rnacentral:rRNA from 1 species
GACGAACCGAGCGAACGUUGUUCGGAAUCACUGGGCUUAAAGGGCGCGUAGGCGGGCUGCCAAGUCUGGGGUGAAAUCCCACGGCUCAACCGUGGAACUGCCUCGGAUACUGGCGGCCUCGAGGGGGGUAGGGGCAUGCGGAACUGUGGGUGGAGCGGUGAAAUGCGUUGAUAUCCACAGGAACUCCGGUGGCGAAGGCGGCAUGCUGGACCUCUACUGACGCUGAGGCGCGAAAGCCAGGGGAGCAAACGGG